AAUCAAUCAUACAAGGACAUUUAGGGAAGACCGGUCUUUUAUUUGACGACCUCCUAAACUUCUGGGCCCGUGUUCAUGAAGCAUAUUUGGUUUUGGUUCGACAUGUUCAACAUUGUCUUCGUGUUACUGUUUGUCAAUAGGAUAUAAUCGCCUGGUUGUGAGUCAUUUUCCUUAAUCCUUGUAGGGUGUAAUGUAAUGCGCAAUGAUACGUGCUUCUGUGCAGGAAGUCAAUUUCUCUGGAUGACACACCUCUCUGCCGUUUCCUGGUUUUACGGAUGAACUCAAAUAUACUGAUUAAAGGGAUUGGUUAGCCUACUGUCAAAAGUCAAUGUAAAAUGUACAGUACAAAAGUCAAUGUAAAAUGUACAGUACAAAAGUCAAUGUAAAAUUUACAGUACAAAAGUCAAUGUAAAAUUUACAGUACAAAAGUCAAUGUACAAUGUACAGUACAAUAGUACAAGCUUUAUCCGGGUGUUAUUUGUCAUGUUGACGUUGAAUUCAUUUUAAUUUUCAGACGACAACACGAAUCAAAUCACUUUGAUGAUAUAGUUAUAGACAAUGACGUGAUCCAACCAUUACUUAUUAGAUGUUACUGUACCUCUCGCACAAUGUCUCAUUCUUUUCAUCACUGAAACCUGGUCCUGGUGCCAUAUUCCUGAAAAAAAAAGGUGUUUUGGAUGCCACCAAGGCCGCAUUUCGUGCUGUUUGCCCAGAGGAAGAUGGAGGGUCAUGGAUGAAGAAGUGGGUCUCCUUCGGGCAGAUGGUGCCACCGUGGGGGAGUGAUUGACCACCUGCAGAGAGGAAGGGGGGCAUAUAAUCCCAAUCCACUAUCGGGGUGCAACAUGGCUGCAAUCCAGGAUGAGUGGCAGGGGCUGAAAAUCCUGGUCAGCCACAAUUUCAAGGACAAGUCUUAGUGGCAUGUGGGAGACAAUGUUGACAAAGGACCCCUACAGGCACGAUUACAAGAACAUACUGGAGUUGGUGCAGCUUAUGCUGGUGCUGCCCAUUUCAGCCGCCCAGUGUGAGUGAGGCUUCUCUGCACAGAACCGGAUUAAGAUUGACAAGAAGCUGCCUUGGGGUCUCUACCACCGAAGACCUGAUGAGGAUCAGCCUGGGGGUCUUCUGUCGAGGAGUUGGAUCCCACUCCUGCCGUGGACCGCUGGCUGACCUCUAAGCGUGCCAGACGGCCAACAUACAAAAGCAGCUGGACAACUGAUAUCCUUUGCGUCUAGUAGCCAUGAGUCAAUGUGUGAUUGGUGGUAUGUGUCCCAUGUGUCCCUUAGUACACGCACACAGUAUAAAUAUGUAUGUAAUAAAUUGUUUGUUAAUAAACUCUGUGUUACUUAAA